rnacentral:rRNA from 1 species
UACGUAGGGUGCGAGCGUUGUCCGGAAUUACUAGGCGUAAAGGGCAGGCAGGCGGAUCCAUAAGUUUAUCGUUUAAGGCGUCGGCUUAACCGGCGUAGGGCGGUAGAUACUGUGGAUCUGGAAUGCGGUUGGGGAAGACAGAAUUCCUGGUGUAGCGGUGGAAUGCGCAGAGAUCAGGAGGAAUACCGAAGGCGAAGGCAGUCUUCCAAGCCGUUAUUGACGCUCAACUGCGAAGGUGUGGGUAUCAAACAGGAUUAGAUACCCCGGUAGUCCCUGAG